GGUUUACAUGACACCGUUUCAUUUAAUUCGAUUUAAAUCACAACCCCUUUUAAAAGUUUGUUACUAAUCAGUAAAAAAUACAUGGCUUGUGUAUUGUCGUUCUAAAUAGUGCCACAGAAUGAGAUAAAGAUAUAUAUUGGGAAAAUAUUGCAAAUGAAUGCAUUUAAAUUAUUGAAUCUAAAUAGUAUGGUGUGAUUUGUUAAACCACCUGUAACUCAACAAAGUCGCAUGGCUUAGUUAGCCAAUCAGAAAUUAGACCCGCAACCCUCUUUUUAGCGUCAACAGAUAGCAGUUACGGAGAUUCGUCCUUUUCGGGACGAGCCACAGAUGAGAUUCGACGAUAGACUACUGUUUUUUAAUAGUAACCUAAAGAUGAGAGAUUCCCCCGCCACUAAAAGUCCCGAAAAGCCUGUGCAGUAAAUCGAAACCCUUGGCCGGGUUUUUUUGGUUGUGUGGAUUGAGAUUGGAUCCUGGAUCGUCUGCAUCCUGCUCGCCCUCCCUGGAGGUCUGCAGCGGUGUACAGACUGGCGAGCUACCCCCCAUCGGAGCGAUCCUUUUGAACCCUGAACGGAAGGAGCAGGUGUUGUUGUUUCUGCAGUGUGGUAGGGGCAAGAGACUUUGAUUUAUUUAUUUAUUUUUUAAUCGCACGGACCAAACCGGAGUGGUUUUCCACAUGGACUGAGUGAAGCUAGAUCUUUGGAGUAAGCUGUUCUCAGUUUUGCUGUGUACUGUUUGUUUUGUUGAGACGUGUGAUU